rnacentral:lncRNA from 1 species
AUUUCAUUGCAAAGACACAAUUACAAAGGCUCGUAUGGACUGCAUCUGUAGAGAUGGCUGCUCUGACACAUGUCCAUGUCCUUUGUCUGAACUGUCAUAGAGAGUGGUGGCCCUGAAUACACUCCUUGUACGCAUGUCCAAAUGCUGCUGUGUCUUCAGAACCAGGACACCUGCAGUAUUACCAACAGGUGCCAGUGACUUCUGGAAAACACAUGACUGUAGCUUCAUGGCCCUCACACUCUGCCUACAACCCUUCUUCUUCAGCCAAUCUCUUCAUGUCUCAUUUUGUGUGUAGUUCAACAACUUUAAUAAGACUUGCUUGUUUAAAGAUGCACACACUGAACCCUGGGCAGGAGAGGAUGCCCCGAGAUGUAAUCUAAGUGGCUUCCAAAGGCAAGGCAUACAUACUCUCUUGGCUCCCUCAUUCCUCCCUGUUAGCCUGCUCUAAAGACCUUCCUUUCUGAAGAAAACUCCCCAUAUAACGCAUCAAGCACUUCAGAUGAUGAAGAUGUCUCCAAGUGCCUCAUGAGAAAGAGUCUUGCUGGAGAAGGAUGUCAUUAUAUCACCCACAGACUGGCCUAGAACAGACAGAGACAUGAGGACCCUCCAUGAGACACAGCACAUGUAGGCCUUAGACACCUGCUUGCUGCCAAGUCACACAGCCAAGACAGAGGAUGUCACUCAGGGUCCUGCCAGUUGUGUAACCAGUCUGCAGCAGAAAGUUCCAGAAUGUGUAAGCAUGUGGUGGACAGGACUGGUUAUUCAGGGGGAUGAUCUAUCUAUGGAGAUAAGAGGACAGUUGAUGGAUUUCUGGCCACUGGCUGCAGGCAAGGUUGGCUUGAAGUGAGGCUGCCUGGGUGUGUGCCCCUGCAGGAAAAGCAGGAGGAAGGAGCCAGGCAAAGAGGACAGCCCUGUGUGGGAAGAUGUGUCACUGGUCAUUCUUUACAAAGAAAAUAAAAAUGAGAUUUCUUGUUGGCUGUCUUA